GUGAACGCUGGCGGUAGGCCUAACACAUGCCAGUCGAACGGCAGCACAGUAAGAGCUUGCUCUUACGGGUGGCGAGUGGCGGACGGGUGAGGAAUACAUCGGAAUCUACUUUUUCGUGGGGGAUAACGUAGGGAAACUUACGCUAAUACAGCAUACGACCUACGGGUGAAAGCAGGGGAUCUUCGGACCUUGCGCGAUUGAAUGAGCCGAUGUCGGAUUAGCUAGUUGGCGGGGUAAAGGCCCACCAAGGCGACGAUCCGUAGCUGGUCUGAGAGGAUGAUCAGCCACACUGGAACUGAGACACGGUCCAGACUCCUACGGGAGGCAGCAGUGGGGAUUAUUGGACAAUGGGCGCAAGCCUGAUCCAGCCAUACCGCGUGGGUGAAGAAGGCCUUCGGGUUGUAAAGCCCUUUUGUUGGGAAAGAAAAGCAGCAGGUUAAUACCCCGCUGUUCUGACGGUACCCAAAGAAUAAGCACCGGCUAACUUCGUG
rnacentral:rRNA from 1 species